UACGUAGGGGGCAAGCGUUGUCCGGAAUCAUUGGGCGUAAAGAGCGUGUAGGCGGCUUGGUAAGUCCGCUGUGAAAGUCCAGGGCUCAACCCUGGAAAGCCGGUGGAAACUGUCAAGCUUGAGUCCGGAAGAGGCGAGUGGAAUUCCUGGUGUAGCGGUGAAAUUCGUAGAUAUCGAGAGGAACACCGGUGGCGAAGGCGGCCUUCUGGACAGUGACUGACGCUGAGACGCGAAAGCGUGGGGAGCAAACAGG
rnacentral:rRNA from 1 species